rnacentral:rRNA from 1 species
GUCCUUUUGAUUUUUAUAUAAGGUCUGACCUGCCCUAUGAAUAUUUAAAUGGCCGCGGUAUACUAACCGUGCAAAGGUAGCAUAGUCAUUUGUCUCUUAAUUGGAGGCUUGAAUGAAGGGUUGGACGAGAUAUAAGCUUUCUUUGUUAUAUUUUAUUGAAUUUGACUUUUUAGUUAAAAGGCUUAAAUUUUUUUAUAGGACGAGAAGACCCUAUAGAAUUUUAUAUAUUUGUAUAAUUGAUUUAUUUAUUUAUUAUUUAAUUUCUUGUUUAAAUAUAUUUUGUUGGGGCGAUGGGAAGAUUUUAAUAACUCUUUUUUGUUUUGAUCAUUGAUUUAUGUUUUAUUCUGAUCCUUUUUUAGAGAUUAUAAGAUUAAAUUACCUUAGGGAUAACAGCGUAAUUCUUUUGGAGAGUUCUUAUCGAUAAAAGAGUUUGCGA